AGCGUAGGUGGCCUAACAUGUCAACUGUGAAAACCCGGAGCUCAACUCCGGACUUGCGGUUGAAACUGGUAGGCUUGAGGACGGUAGAGGAAGACGGAACUGCCAGUGUAGGGGUAAAAUCCUUAGAUAUUGGCAGGAACGCCGGUGACGAAGGUGGUUUUCUGGGCCGGUUCUGACACUGAUGCUCGAAAGCCAGGGGGAGCGAACG
rnacentral:rRNA from 1 species